CUACGGGGGGCAGCAGUCGAGAGGCUUCGUCAAUGGGGGCAACCCUGAACGAGCGACGCCGCGUGAGCGAUGAAGGUCGUAAGAUCGUAAAGCUCUGUUAGUGGGGAAGAAACCCCGGGGUGCUAAUACCACCACGGCUUGACGUUACCCACAAAGAAAGCUCCGGCUAACUCCGUGCCAGCAGCCGCGGUAACACGGGGGGAGCAAACGUUGUUCGGAAUCACUGGGCGUAAAGGGCGCGUAGGCGGCCUGGUCAGUGAAACGUGAAAGCCCCUGGCUCAACCAGGGAAUGUCGUUUCAUACUGCCAGGCUUGAGGACGGGAGAGGAGAGGGGAAUUCCCGGUGUAGCGGUGAAAUGCACUGAUAUCGGGAGGAACACCAGUGGCGAAGGCGCCUCUCUGGCCCGUUCCUGACGCUCAGGCGCGAAAGCAGGGGGAGCAAACAGGAUUAGAUACCCGGGUAGUC
rnacentral:rRNA from 1 species